ACAUAGUCAAGUUGGCCAAACAUAAAGAGUUUACCCCGUAUGGUAACUGGUUCUACACACGAGUUGCUUCCACAGCAAGGUACCUGUACCUCCGUGGUGGUGCGGCGGUGGAUUUCAUGACCAAGAUCUAUGGAGGACGGCUGAGACACGGUGUCAAGCCCAGCCACUUCAGCAGAGGCUUUAAGAAUGUGGCCCGCGGAGUCCUCCAAGCCCUGGAGGGGCUGAAAAUGAUGGAAAAGGACCAAGAUGGGGGUCGCAAGCUAACACCUCAGGAACAGAAAGAUCUGGAUGGGAUGGCUGGACAGGUGGCAGCUAUCAACAAGAAGAAUUAGAGCAAAGGAUGCUGGGUUAAUAAAUUGACUCAUUCAUAAUCUUAAAAAAAGGGCACAUGUGAAAUUUACUCACAGUGUACAUUCCAUAAUUGCCGUUACUUCAGGUGAUUAAUCCUGGGGCUAGAAGAAUAGCUCAGUAGCAAAGUGCUUACUGUAACAAGCCUGAGGACCUGAGUUUGGAUUCAAAGCAUCUACUUAAAAGCCAGGAACAACAGAAGUUCUCAUCUGUGCCUCUCCCAGGAAGUGAAGAUCAGCAAAGAUAUGAGACCCACAAGCUUGCACAGCUAGCUGUACCAGCAAGCCAAGCUCUGCCUCCAUCACUCUGUGGAGUUCUAUUUAUACCCUCCAAACAUCACAUAUCCUCCAUGUGCCUUGCCUCUGCAUGUGUCUUGCCUCAACACGUACAUCCAAUCAGCCUGAGUCCUUGGAACUGGCAAACUGCAGACCUCCACCAGAAGUGUUUUGGUGUGUUUCUCUCUAUGGUGUCCUGACAAAUGCCGCUCAACUAUGCAACGUAAGGCAGACCAAUGCAUGCAUAUUGUUAGCAAAGAAUUUUUCAUCAUGCAUCCUUUUAUGUGCUUGCUUUAACAGAAUAUCAUCUCUCCUGUGUCUACUUCAGCAAAACGAGUCUGCCUCAGCCUUUCGCACCUGUGUCCAUAUUAACAAAAUGUUCCUUCACAUGUUUGCCCCAGCAAAACACCAUCCAUCCGACUUUCCAAAGAACCCUUACACUUCAGGUUAACAGGACAAGGGGGAUGUGGACCAGUUUAGAAGUAGUUCUUUGGGGAGGGGGGGUAUUCCAGUCUUCGUUGUCAGAAUGUCAGCAGUCCGGUUCAAUGGUGUCAGGAUACCAGUAAUUCAGUUCAACUGGUGAGUCAUGGAUCAGCAGCAGCAGCUCCAUCUAGAAGAAACUUUGAGGCUCUGCUCAAUCAGCAUGAGUCUGUGGAAUCAGCAAGAAGCAGCCGGAAUACCACAAGAAGUUCUUUGAGGAGUUACUGUCUACGAAGUCACAACAAACGUAGACCAGUGGAGAUAAGCAAAGCAUUGCAAGGUGAACCAAUGCAAGAGCACCUUUCACUGUCCCUGGUGUUAUAUUUAUGUUCUAAACAUCAUGUGCAGGGGUUGGGGAUUUAGCUCAGCGGUAGAGCGCUUGCCUAGGAAGCGCAAGGCCCUGGGUUCAGUCCCCAGCUCCGAAAAAAAAGGACCCCCCCCAAAAAAAAAAUCAUGUGCCCUCUCAAGCAUCGACUCCAGGAAAAGUCACGUGCCCUUUCACAAGACAGCUUCCAGAAAAAAUCAUAUGACACAACAGAAUCUUCAAAGAAACCAGAAAUUUCCACUUCACCUUUCCUCUCCUCAUGAGAGUCAGACAUAUCCCGUUCUAUCAAAUCUCUCUGAUGCAUCCCUUUGUCGGCUAUGCAAUAAGACAUCAUUUUUCUUUCUUUCUUUCUUUCUUUUUUUUAUUCCUCUCCCCCGAGACAUCACUUUUCAAACAUGGGAGCUUCCUUCUACAAACUAACUUCACCUUCAUUGUUUGGAAUUAAAAGUAUGUACUAAGGGCAUGUCUAUUCCAGCCAGAGGGAUUUAAGGUACAGGCUAAGGGCUGAGCCCACAACUAGAAACAGGGUAUUUCAAUAAACAAUGAAAUCUCAGCAUUCACAGUGUGAUUAAAAUUCCUGCUGCAAUUAAGCUUCACCUAGAUUCCUGUUCGUGUUUUCAUGUCUGAAGCAGGUAACUAGGAACAAAGUUUGUGUACAUCAGAUGUUGUUAAUAAAUCGUGGUCC
ensembl:lncRNA RGD1559724 similar to 40S ribosomal protein S19